UACGAAGGGGGCUAGCGUUGCUCGGAAUCACUGGGCGUAAAGCGCACGUAGGCGGUUUUCUAAGUCAGGGGUGAAAUCCUGGAGCUCAACUCCAGAACUGCCUUUGAUACUGGGAAUCUCGAGUCCGGGAGAGGUGAGUGGAACUGCGAGUGUAGAGGUGAAAUUCGUAGAUAUCGGGAGGAACACCGGUGGCGAAGGCGGCGACCUGGGUCGAGACUGACGCUUAGGCGCGAAAGCGUGGGGAGCAAACAGG
rnacentral:rRNA from 1 species